AUCUAAUAGAUUUGGCGGUAUCCGUGACUCAUCAGAGGAAUUUGCUUUAUAAUCGAUAAUCCUCGUAUAAUCUUACCUUUGUUUGUGUAAUCAGUUUGUAUACCGUCAUAGAUGUAAUUUUUAUAAAAUUGUAAUUAUUUAAAUAAUUUUGGGAUAAGACAUUAGAUCAAGGUGCAGCUUAUAUAAAGGGUAAAGUUAAUUACAGUAUAUUUUUGUAGGUAUGGAUAAGAGUAAUAAAAUGUUUUUGAAAGUGGAUUUGAUUGUAAUUUGUAUUUUAAUAAGGUAAUAUGAUAGUAGUUCUGGGAUAUGU
rnacentral:rRNA from 1 species